rnacentral:rRNA from 1 species
UACGAGGGGUGCAAGCGUUGCUCGGAAUUAUUGGGCGUAAAGGGUAGGUAGGUGGUCUCAUUUGUCAGGGGUGAAAGCCUUGGGCUUAACCUAAGAAGUGCCACUGAAACGGUGAGACUGGAGUCCUGGAGAGGGUCGUGGAAUUCCCGGUGUAGCGGUGAAAUGCGUAGAGAUCGGGAGGAACACCAGAGGCGAAGGCGGCGACCUGGACAGGCACUGACACUCAACUACGAAAGCGUGGGGAGCAAACAGG